CACCCGUCGUGGCAAGCGUUCAGGGGCGCAGGCUGGAAUUGGAACAGGGGCCAGCCAUGCGCAUGACGGGGAUGCCGAGGGGCCGAUAGUCGGGGGACUAUCGGCCCCUUUUUU
rnacentral:antisense_RNA from 1 species